rnacentral:rRNA from 1 species
UACGAGUGCCCCAAGCGUUAUCCGGAAUUAUUGGGCGUAAAGGGCGCGCAGGCGGCUACGCACGUCCGUUGUGAAAUCGCUCGGCUCAACUGGGCGGGGUCAGCGGAUACGGCGUAGCUGGAGCAAGCUAGGGGGCAAUGGAAUUCCCGGUGUAGUGGUGGAAUGCGUAGAUAUCGGGAGGAACACCAGUGGCGAAGGCGGUUGCCUGGAGCUUUGCUGACGCUGAGGCGCGAAAGCGUGGGGAGCGAUCCGG